rnacentral:rRNA from 1 species
CGUAGGGUGCGAGCGUUAAUCGGAAUUACUGGGCGUAAAGCGUGCGCAGGCGGUUUGUUAAGAUAGGCGUGAAAUCCCCCGGGCUCAACCUGGGAACUGCGCUUAUGACUGGCAAGCUAGAGUACGGCAGAGGGGGGUGGAAUUCCACGUGUAGCAGUGAAAUGCGUAGAGAUGUGGAGGAACACCAAUGGCGAAGGCAGCCCCCCUGGGUCGAUACUGACGCUCAUGCACGAAAGCGUGGGUAGCAAACAGGAUUAGAUACCCUGGUAGUCCACGCCCUAAACGAUGUCAACUAGGUGUUGGAUGGGUAAAACCAUUUAGUACCGGAGCUAACGCGUGAAGUUGACCGCCUGGGGAGUACGGCCGCAAGGUUA